rnacentral:rRNA from 1 species
UACGAGGGGGGCAAGCGUUGUUCGGAAUUACUGGGCGUAAAGGGCGCGCAGGCGGCUCUGAAAGUCAGAUGUGAAAGCCCCGGGCUUAACCUGGGAAGUGCAUUUGAUACUCUGGAGCUUGAGUACGGGAGAGGAUAGUGGAAUUCCCAGUGUAGAGGUGAAAUUCGUAGAUAUUGGGAAGAACACCGGUGGCGCAGGCGGCUAUCUGGACCGUAACUGACGCUGAGGCGCGAAAGCGUGGGGAGCAAACAGG